AAAUAAAUCACGACGAUGUUUAAAUCAUUCAUUGUUUUUAUAUUGGCUGCACUGGUUUGCCAAGUGUUGGGUGAAUUCACUAAAUGUGAUUGCGAUAAACCUCAUACAAUUGCCGGAAUAAGCUGCGAUGCUUACACUGUUCGUUAUCACUGGAAUAAUUCUCUCAAAAAAUGUGAAGAAGUUAUUUACGGUGGAUGCAGAGCAACCGAAAACAACUUUAAGACCUUACAAGAAUGUGAAAGGACGGCUGGAGUUAUAUGUCGAAGUCUUUAAAUAUUGAUUUUCAUUUUUGUCAGAAUAAUUGACAACAAAAGUGAUAUGGAAUGAAAAGUGAUCACGUUUUUUCAAACCUAUGCGAUAUGAAUAAACGUUUCAAAUUCAAGUAUGUUA